rnacentral:ncRNA from 1 species
GUUUAAUUCGAUGCAACGCGAAGAACCUUACCUACUCUUGACAUCCAGAGAACUUUCCAGAGAUGGAUUGGUGCCUUCGGGAACUCUGAGACAGGUGCUGCAUGGCUGUCGUCAGCUCGUGUUGUGAAAUGUUGGGUUAAGUCCCGCAACGAGCGCAACCCUUAUCCUUUGUUGCCAGCGGUUCGGCCGGGAACUCAAAGGAGACUGCCAGUGAUAAACUGGAGGAAGGUGGGGAUGACGUCAAGUCAUCAUGGCCCUUACGAGUAGGGCUACACACGUGCUACAAUGGCGUAUACAAAGAGAAGCGACCUCGCGAGAGCAAGCGGACCUCAUAAAGUACGUCGUAGUCCGGAUUGGAGUCUGCAACUCGACUCCAUGAAGUCGGAAUCGCUAGUAAUCGUAGAUCAGAAUGCUACGGUGAAUACGUUCCCGGGCCUUGUACAC